rnacentral:rRNA from 1 species
CGUAGGUGGCGAGCGUUGUCCGGAAUGACUGGGCGUAAAGGACGUGUAGGCGGUCCUGUAAGUCUGGGGUGAAACCGGCGGCUCAACCGCCGGCCUGCCCUGGAAACUGCGGGGCUAGAGUGGGCUAGAGGGCAGCGGAAUUCCCGGUGUAGCGGUGAAAUGCGUAGAGAUCGGGAGGAACACCAGUGGCGAAGGCGGCUGCCUGGGGCCUAACUGACGCUGAGGCGCGAAAACUGGGGGAGCAAACAGGAUU